AGGGUUUCAAUAUUAAUCUGUCGGGCGUAUAUUUAAAGGGUCGGUUAUCCGACUACGACGAUAAACGCUGUAUGGAAUAAGCGUCAUGGACCCGGGGGCAGUACCCGGCGCCUCCACCAUUUGGCAAAUUGCUCCGCACAGUGUGCGGGAACUCAUGGGGGCGAACCAGGUUCGACAUGCGUGGUAAAGGUGCAGUUUUCGUCCGGUAUGAUACCGCCGUUAUCGGGUCAAACAUAAAACUGCCAACGAUAACGAAUUGGCACUUGCUGCUUAGGAUUUCUAGGUAAGCGCGGUCCGGGGGGCACCGGGCAACAGAAGCCCCUCACU
rnacentral:tmRNA from 1 species